UACAGAGGUCUCAAGCGUUGUUCGGAUUCAUUGGGCGUAAAGGGUGCGUAGGCGGCGUGGCAAGUCUGGUGUGAAAUCCCGGGGCUCGACCUCGGAACUGCACUGGAUACUGCCAUGCUAGAGUACUGGAGAGGGAACUGGAAUUUACGGUGUAGCAGUGAAAUGCGUAGAUAUCGUAAGGAAGACCAGUGGCGAAGGCGAGUUCCUGGACAGUUACUGACGCUGAGGCACGAAGGCCAGGGGAGCAAACGGG
rnacentral:misc_RNA from 1 species